UUACGGCUCAGUAACACGUAGCUAACCUACCCUUAAGUCGAGGAUACUCUCGGGAAACUGAGGUUAAUACUCGAUAGGAGAUGUACCCUGGAAUGAUUCAUCUCUCAAAUUCGAGCUUAAGGAUGGGGCUGCGGCGGAUUAGGUUGUUGGCGGGGUAAAAGCCCACCAAGCCGAUGAUCCGUAAGGGCUCUUAGCGGAGAGGCCCUGAGAGGGAAUCUGAGACACUAUUCCCAGCCCUACGGGGUGCAGCAGUUAGGAAUCUUCUGCAAUGCGCGCAAGCGUGACAGAUUGAGUCAGAGUGCUUUUCAUAUGAAAAGCUUUUGCCAAAUGUAAAAAGUUUGGCGAAUAAGGACUGGGUAAGACGGGUGCCAGCCGCCGCGGUAAUACCCGCGGUCCAAGUCGCAGCCAUCAUUAUUGGGUCUAAAACAUCCGUAGCUUGCUUGAUAAGUUUCUUGUGAAAUUCCAUGUCUCAAAUAUGGAGCGGGCAAGAAGUACUGUUAAGCUAGAGACUGGAAGACGUAAGAAGUACGUUUGGAGUAGCGGUAAAAUGUGUUAAUCCCAGACGGACUAACAACAGCGAAGGCAUCUUACGAGGACAGUUCUGACAGUAAGGGAUGAAGGCUAGGGGCGCGAAAGGGAUUAGAUACCCCUGUAGUCCUAGCAGUAAACACUGCACACUANACAUUAGUACCUCCUCGAGAGGUGUUAGUGCUGAAGAGAAGUCGAAGAGUGUGCUACCUGGGAAGUAUAGUCGCAAGGCUGAAACUUAAAGGAAUUGGCGGGGGAGCACAAUC
rnacentral:rRNA from 1 species